CUCGAUCAUCAACACAUAAUAUCUAUAACAUCCAUAACGUCUGGUUGAAAGAGUGUAUAACUGGUUCAAGACUUUGGUCAGUUGUAAGAAAUAGAACGCCAUUAAUAGAAUUCUAGUGAAAAUGGCGACUUUAAGCUUUCUUCUGUGUGCUGUUGUGGUUUUAGCCGUUGUGCAGGCCGCUGUUAUCAGACAACCCGACUCCAAUUACCAUCGAUAUAACGUCAACGCCAAUCCUUCAUCACGUGGUCAUCUUAGCCGUCGUUAUGGACAACCGGAAGCUGGCGAUAGAUUAUUGUUAGAUUUGAACGGAGGUGAUCAGUUCCAAGGCAACAGACAGCAGUACAAAACACAUUUGGCUAAUUUGUUGAGGAAUCAUUUAUCAGCUACAAGAGGGCGUUAUCAACAUACUAUACGUCAUACUAUGGACGAGUUCGGCGGAGCUUUAUAAUUAUAUAAAAAAAAACUUAAUGUGUUUUCAACGAAAUGAAGAAUUGUAAUUCUUUAUGAAUAUGAAACGUUGUUUUGUGUCUUUAUAAAGGGAGUAAAAACACU